rnacentral:tRNA from 1 species
GGAGAGAUGGCUGAGUUGGUCUAAGGCGCACGACUGGAAAUCGUGUGAAGGCUAAUACCCUUCCGAGAGUUCGAAUCUCUCUCUCUCCGCCA